rnacentral:rRNA from 1 species
UGGGGAAUCUUGGACAAUGGGGGCAACCCUGAUCCAGCCAUGCCGCGUGCGUGAAGAAGGCCUUAGGGUUGUAAAGCGCUUUCAGCGGGGACGAUGAUGACGGUACCCGCAGAAGAAGCCCCGGCUAACUCCGUGCCAGCAGCCGCGGUAAUACGGAGGGGGCAAGCGUUGUUCGGAAUUACUGGGCGUAAAGGGCGCGUAGGCGGCAUAUCAAGUCAGAGGUGAAAGCCCCGGGCUCAACCUGGGAAUUGCCUUUGAAACUGAUAAGCUAGAGUCCGGAAGAGGAUUGCGGAAUUCCCAGUGUAGAGGUGAAAUUCGUAGAUAUUGGGAAGAACACCAGUGGCGAAGGCGGCUAUCUGGUCCGGUACUGACGCUGAGGGACGAAAGCUAGGGGAGCGAAUGGGAUUAGAUACCCCGGUAGUCC